AGCUUUUUGCCCAUUUAGCAAAUCACUGGCUGAGCAGGGUAGAGAAAAGAGCAAUGGGGACUCAGAGUCACUGGAAAAGGAGCUGUGAGGGACCAGAAUGUGCUAACAAUGAUAAUAAAGAAGUUACAUGAGCGCUGCUCAUCUAAGUGGCCUAGAAGAGUCAAGAUCGGAGGCACAACUGGCAGAUAUCUCAAGGAGGCAAUGUGCUGAGAUUCAGGAGAAUAGCAAUGCAAAGAAGGUGUCGGCAUGCCUCCAGCCAAACAGAUGCAUCUGAAGCAUGUCACACUUCACUGCUGAUAUAUAAAGAACAUACAUAUCUUACAUGGAGAUGGAUGGAAUCUAUGUUUAAUUUAUAAAAAAUGAAGCAAUGGGAGAAUUUGUGCUUCCAGCCUUGGCCAGUACAUUGCAACUUCUACUGGUUAUGCACCUAAGGGGGUCAUCUGUCAAGGUUAGUUAGUUGUUCUU